rnacentral:ncRNA from 1 species
CAAAGGCUUGGUCCUGACUUUACUGUCAACUCUGACUAGACUUACACAUGCAAGUAUCCGCACCCCCGUGAGAAUGCCCUACAGUUCUCCGUCCGAGAACAAGGAGCGGGUAUCAGGCACACACAAUAGUAGCCCACGACACCUUGCUAUGCCACACCCUCAAGGGAUUUCAGCAGUGAUAAACAUUAAGCCAUAAGUGAAAACUUGACUUAGUUAAGGUCAAAAGGGCCGGUAAAACUCGUGCCAGCCACCGCGGUUAUACGAGAGGCCCAAGUUGACAGACUUUCGGCGUAAAGAGUGGUUAAUGAAAAAUUAUACUAAAGCCGAACGCCUUCAGAACUGUUAUACGUACUCGAAGGUAAGAAGCCCUACCACGAAAGUGGCUUUAUACACUUGACCCCACGAAAGCUGUGAAACAAACUGGGAUUAGAUACCCCACUAUGCUCAGCCUUAAACAUAGGUAGUAAUUUACAUUUACUACCCGCCUGGGAACUACGAGCAUUAGCUUGAAACCCAAAGGACUUGGCGGUGCUUAAGAUCCACCUAGAGGAGCCUGUUCUAGAACCGAUAACCCCCGUUUAACCUCACCCUCCCUUGUUUUUCCCGCCUAUAUACCGCCGUCGUCAGCUUACCCUGUGAAGGCUCCAUAGUAAGCAAAAAUAGCACAGCCCAAAACGUCAGGUCGAGGUGUAGCAUAUGAGAGGGGAAGAAAUGGGCUACAUUUCCUGUUCUGUAGGAAAUACGAACAAGGGGCUGAAACGCCCCUUAAAAGGAGGAUUUAGCAGUAAGCAGAAAAUAGAGUGUCCUGCUGAAACUGGCCCUAAAGCGCGCACACACCGCCCGU